CUGGUCUCAUUGAGAAGACAGGGCAGGUAUGUAACCCUCUGUCUACACUGUCUCAUUGAGAAGAGAGGGCAGGUAUGUACCCCCCCUGUCUACACUUGUCUCAUUGAGAAGACAGGGCAGGUAUGUACCCCCCCUGUCUACACUGUCUCAUUGAGAAGACAGGGCAGGUAUGUAACCCUCUGUCUACACUGUCUCAUUGAGAAGACAGGGCAGGUAUGUACCCCCCUGUCUCAUUGAGAAGACAGGGCAGGUAUGUAACCCUCUGUCUACACUGUCUCAUUGAGAAGACAGGGCAGGUAUGUACCCUCUGUCUACACUGUCUCAUUGAGAAGACAGGGCAGGUAUGUACCCCCCUGUCUACUCCCCCUGUCUCAUUGAGAAGACAGGGCAGGUAUGUACCCCCCUGUCUACACUGUCUCAUUGAGAAGACAGGGCAGGUAUGUAACCCUCUGUCUACACUGUCUCAUUGAGAAGACAGGGCAGUAUGUACCCCCCUGUCUCAUUGAGAAGACAGGGCAGGUAUGUAACCCUCUGUCUACACUGUCUCAUUGAGAAGACAGGGCAGGUAUGUACCCCCCUGUCUCAUUGAGAAGACAGGGCAGGUAUGUAACCCUCUGUCUACACUGUC